GAUGAACGCUGGCGGCGUGCCUAAUACAUGCAAGUCGAGCGAACAGAUAAGGAGCUUGCUCCUUUGAAGUUAGCGGCGGACGGGUGAGUAACACGUGGGUAACCUACCUAUAAGACUGGGAUAACUUCGGGAAACCGGAGCUAAUACCGGAUAACAUUUAGAACCGCAUGGUUCUAAAGUGAAAGAUGGUUUUGCUAUCACUUAUAGAUGGACCCGCGCCGUAUUAGCUAGUUGGUAAGGUAACGGCUUACCAAGGCGACGAUACGUAGCCGACCUGAGAGGGUGAUCGGCCACACUGGAACUGAGACACGGUCCAGACUCCUACGGGGGGCAGCAGUAGGGAAUCUUCCGCAAUGGGCGAAAGCCUGACGGAGCAACGCCGCGUGAGUGAUGAAGGGUUUCGGCUCGUAAAACUCUGUUAUUAGGGAAGAACAAAUGUGUAAGUAACUGUGCACAUCUUGACGGUACCUAAUCAGAAAGCCACGGCUAACUACGUG
rnacentral:rRNA from 1 species